GGUCAAGUUUUUAAGGGCACACGGUGGAUGCCUUGGCAUUAGGAGCCGAAGAAGGACGUAGGAAUCUGCGAUAAGCCUGGGGGAGUUGAUAACCGAGCGUUGAUCCCAGGAUGUCCGAAUGGGGAAACCCCGCACAACGCUGUGAGGUGAUUGUGUGACCCGCAUCUGAACACAUAGGGUGCGUGGGGGGAACGCGGGGAAGUGAAACAUCUCAGUACCCGCAGGAAGAGAAAACAAUAGUGAUUCCGUUAGUAGUGGCGAGCGAACGCGGAUCAGGCUAAACCGUUCCAUGUGUGAUAGCCGGCGGGCGUUGCAUGGGCGGGGUUGUGGGACUUUCCGUUCUGGUUCUGCCGGACCAGUGAGGUGAGGUGCAGGCAUAGGUGAACGGUCUUGAAAGGCCGGCCAGAGAGGGUGUGAGCCCCGUAACCGUAAUGUUGUGCACGGCCUGGGGAGUAUCCCAAGUAGCACGGGGCCCGAGAAAUCCCGUGCGAAUCUGUCAGGACCACCUGAUAAGCCUAAAUACUUCCUAAUGACCGAUAGCGGACCAGUACCGUGAGGGAAAGGUGAAAAGUACCCCGGGAGGGGAGUGAAACAGUACCUGAAACCGUGUGCUUACAAUCCGUCGGAGCCAGUCUGAUUCUGGUGACGGCGUGCCUUUUGAAGAAUGAGCCUGCGAGUUAGUGUUACGUCGCGAGGUUAACCCGUGUGGGGUAGCCGUAGCGAAAGCGAGUCUGAAUAGGGCGAGUGUAGUGGCGUGAUCUAGACCCGAAGCGGAGUGAUCUACCCAUGGCCAGGUUGAAGCGACGGUAAGACGUCGUGGAGGACCGAACCCACUUCAGUUGAAAAUGGAGGGGAUGAGCUGUGGGUAGGGGUGAAAGGCCAAUCAAACUCCGUGAUAGCUGGUUCUCCCCGAAAUGCAUUUAGGUGCAGCGUUGCGUGUUUCUUGCCGGAGGUAGAGCUACUGGAUGGCCGAUGGGCCCUACAAGGUUACUGACGUCAGCCAAACUCCGAAUGCCGGUAAGUCAGAGCGCAGCAGUGAGACUGUGGGGGAUAAGCUUCAUAGUCGAGAGGGAAACAGCCCAGACCACCAACUAAGGCCCCUAAGCGUGUGCUAAGUGGGAAAGGAUGUGGAGUUGCGAAGACAACCAGGAGGUUGGCUUAGAAGCAGCCAUCCUUGAAAGAGUGCGUAAUAGCUCACUGGUCAAGUGAUUCCGCGCCGACAAUGUAGCGGGGCUCAAGUACACCGCCGAAGUUGUGGAUUUCACAUAAUGCCCUAGCCUUCGUGGUUCAGGGGUGUGGAGUGGUAGGGGAGCGUCGUGUGGGCAGUGAAGUCGCGGUGUAAACCAGCGGUGGAGCCUACACGAGUGAGAAUGCAGGCAUGAGUAGCGAAAGACGGGUGAGAAACCCGUCCGCCGAAUGAUCAAGGGUUCCAGGGUCAAGCUAAUCUGCCCUGGGUAAGUCGGGACCUAAGGCGAGGCCGACAGGCGUAGUCGAUGGACAACGGGUUGAUAUUCCCGUACCGGCGAAAAACCGCCCAUGCCAAGCGGGGGAUACUAACCGCCCGGAGCCUGCCCUAACACCCUUGUGGUGUGUGGGUUUUGGCCGAGCGCGGGACCUGAUCCCGGGAGGUAAGCGUAUUAACAGGUGUGACGCAGGAAGGUAGCCGGGCCGG
rnacentral:rRNA from 1 species